UACAGAGGUCCCAAGCGUUGUUCGGAUUCACUGGGCGUAAAGGGUGCGUAGGCGGUUUGAUAAGUCUGAUGUGAAAUCCCGCAGCUUAACUGCGGAACUGCAUUGGAAACUGUUUGACUAGAGGAAUGGAGGGGAGACUGGAAUUCUCGGUGUAGCAGUGAAAUGCGUAGAUAUCGAGAGGAACACCAGUGGCGAAGGCGAGUCCCUGGACAGGUCCUGACGCUGAGGCACGAAAGCUAGGGGAGCAAACAGG
rnacentral:rRNA from 1 species